AUCAGAUUCUACUGGAUCCAAAGAGUCGAGACGCUUCUUCACCAUUAUAUACUGCUUUAGUUUAGUUUAUGGCUUUGUUAACAAAGCCUUUAGCUAUUUUUAGCUUAAUUAAGCUAAAAUGCUUUUUUUAUUUUUUUAACCUUUUUAUAAAAAAUUUUAUUGACAAUGUUCACAAUUUUAAUUGUGAACAUAGAUUUAUUACCUUCUGUGGCAUCAGCGGAUAGUUAUGCCCAUAGUUUCAAAUAUUUUUUAAGGAACAAAGUGUUAUCAUCGUGCGCAAUGGAUAAGUGGCGAUAAUCUAGAGAUGUCCUUAUGGCCAAAUGGAACUGAUCAACACCUCUUAAAAUCACCCAAAUUGUACCCUUCGUUUCCAUUUGGAAAAGUCAAAGGGAAAACAUGUUAUUUCAGCCUCAACAGCUGAAGGGAUCAAGAAAAAGUCCGAAGUGGCUGGUUUGAUAUCUGGUACUUCACUCGGUGUCGCCAAAGCGGCGUUAAAAAAACAAUAUUUAUUGAAAAAGAGAUUGUUUUUUUAAAAAAGUGGCUCCAGAAAAACCCGAAUUCAAGGUGGUUUGGGUCGAACAGAAAGGGCCAAGCAUGCCACAAGAGCCAGCAACUCCUAUGGAAAUAUACAAAAAAGUAACAAAAACAAAGGUAAAAAAACAAAUAUGUUAAAAUUAAGUGUGAAGCCUUAUUUCAAAGGCUAUUUUAAAGGUAAAAAUAGGAAAAAUCCUAGGUUAAUUGUAAUAAUAACA